CCCGCACAAGCGGUGGAGCAUGUGGUUUAAUUCGACGCAACGCGAAGAACCUUUACCAGGGUUUGACAUCCCCUGACGGCUGUGGAAACACAGAAUUCUAUUUUCGGAUAGACAGGGAGACAGGUGGUGCAUGGUUGUCGUCAGCUCGUGUCGUGAGAUGUUGGGUUAAGUCCCGCAACGAGCGCAACCCCUACGUUUAGUUGCUAACGGGUGGAGCCGAGCACUCUGGACGAACUGCCGUUGACAAAACGGAGGAAGGUGGGGAUGACGUCAAAUCAUCAUGCCCCUUAUGUCCUGGGCCACACACGUGCUACAAUGGCCGGUACAGAGGGAAGCGAAGCCGUGAGGCGGAGCAAAUCCCAAAAAGCCGGUCUCAGUUCGGAUUGCAGGCUGCAACCCGCCUGCAUGAAGUCGGAAUCGCUAGUAAUCGCAGGUCAGCAUACUGCGGUGAAUAUCGUCCCUGCUCCUU
rnacentral:rRNA from 1 species